rnacentral:lncRNA from 1 species
UUUUUUUUAGUAAUUCUACAGGUAUAUUUCCAACACCCGAUCAUAUCAUUCAACUGAUAAUUAGCUGGUGGGAGGACGACUUGACUAUAAUAAUCUUGGAAUCUAGAUUGUUAUAAUUCAGUUAUAAUCUGAGACCUUUUUGUUUCAUAUUACAGAUUAUAACCUAGAUUAAUUUAAGGUGAGGAAAUAACAUGGACUUUGUUUUGGAUAAAACUGAUGAGCUGAUGGAAAGAAAGAAAGAAACGCCAAAUCCAUGCCGGAGGCAACAAUAGAAUUCUCGUCAGAGUGGCAUUGUGGCAACGCCACUUGAUUUGUUUUCUUUUGCAGGGGGGAGACGAGACAAGACAAGCGAACCAGUUAAUCUGCCACCUUAUGAUGAGCCGGCCCCUACCCGCCUCCGUCCUCCCUCCCUUAUAUCGCCACGCCCUCGCCCUUGGCAACAAGCGCGACACGCCACGACACGACACGGCGCGAGAGAGCCCCCCCGUGCUCAUGCCACUGACGACGACGCCACCCAUGGAGAUCGACCUGGACGCCGUGCGCGCGGCGCGCGUGCUGGGCCGCGGCGCCUUGGGCACGGUGUUCCUCGUCGGGGACGGGGACGGCGGCGGAGGGGAGGCCUACGCGCUCAAGGUCUUCGACAAGCGCUCCCCCGCGGCGCCGUCGAGGCCGGCCGCGGGCGCCGACGCCGCCCGGCGCGCGCGGUGGGAGGUGUCCGUUCUGUCGCGCCUGGCGCACCCGCACCUGCCGUCCCUGCUGGGCUGCGCCGAGACGCCCGGCCUACUGGCGUGGGCGCUGCCCUACUGCCCCGGCGGGGACCUCAACGAGCUCCGCCACGCGCAGCCCGACCGCGUGUUCUCGCCCGCCGCCAUCCGGUUCUACGUCGCGGAGGUGGUCUCCGCGCUCGCCGAGCUCCACGCCGCCGGGAUCGCGUACCGCGACCUCAAGCCCGAGAACGUUCUCCUCCGCGCCGACGGCCACGUCACGCUCACCGACUUCGACCUCUCGCGGCAGCUCCCGCCCAGGUCGCCCUCCGCGUCCACGUCCUCCUCGUCUUCGUGCUCCGCCUCCGCGACGUCCUCGCCGCCGCCUCAGAUGCCGGGCCACGGACGGGGCCAGUACCGCCACCUGAAGCGCAUCUUCAAGAGGAGCGAGUCUGCGGUGACCGCGUCGACGUCCGGACAGGAGGAAGAGCCGCGCAACCUCGCCUGGUACCUCAGCAGAAGCGUCGACGGCGCUGGCGGCGGCGAUCAGGUCAAGAAGGCGAAGUCAGCGAGGGUGUCGCCGGCGGACCGCCGCAAGAAGCUCUCGGGCCUCUGCUCGGCCGCCGCCGCGGCGGGCGAGCGGUCCUUCUCGUUCGUGGGCACGGAGGAGUACGUGGCGCCGGAGGUGGUGCGCGGCGACGGGCACGAGUUCGCCGUCGACUGGUGGGCGCUCGGGGUGCUCGUCUACGAGAUGUCACACGGGCGGACGCCGUUCAGGGGCCGGAACAGGAAGGAGACGUUCCGGAACGUGCUGCACCGGGAGCCGGAGUUCUCAGCGGAGGCGCGGCGGCGGUGGCCGGAGCUCACGGACCUCAUAUCGAGGCUUCUGGAGAAGGAUCCAGCGCGGAGGCUGGGCUUCGCCGGCGGCGCCGACGAGGUCCGGGCGCACCCGUUCUUCGCCGGGGUGGCGUGGGAACUGCUCGGGGAGGUGUCCCGGCCGCCCUACAUCCCCCCGCCGGCCGAUGACAUUGUCUCCUGCGAGGGAUUCAGCGUGGCCGAAUACUUCGAUAAGCUUCACCAGCCUCCGCCGUCGCCGGCGGAGCACACGCCAGAGGAGGAGCUCUUGCCGGAGUUCUGACAUCGGUUGUUUCCGCUCGAGCUUUGAGCUCCCUAUUUUUUUCGUUUUGCACCCUAGAAGAUCACUAUAUCAUGUAACAGGGGAUGUUAGUGAUAUGUGUACAUAGAGAGCGGGUGACCUUGUAAGAUCAUGAUAGUAGGAGCAAUCCUUGGUGAAAUUGAGGAUGAUGAUGCAGUCGUCAAAGACUUGAGCUUUCGAGUUUUUCGUCAGUUUAUACUACUGUAACUCAACUACGAUUCUUAUUACGAAAAUUCGACAAGACUGGAUUAAUUACGCUGCAGCUCAAUUACAGUUGGGGAUAGAGAGAGAGAGAGAGAGCAUCUUUGACGGGGUUGGUUGGUAACUUCUGUUGGACCAUGAAUUCACUCCCAUCUCUGAAGGUUGGACCAUGUACGUACGUAUGUCAAUUUCAUCCUUGGUUUUGUACCACUACUCUACAUUUGUGUACGUGCACGAUUGAUCAGCUGCCGGCUGGUUCCAUGUGCAGGUUGAUGCGCUUGUGCUCUUGAACGUAGACGAACAUAAUUGAUGGCUGUUCCAUCAGACAUUCAGGCCUUCAGUAAGCCUCGCCAGCUCUUCAUUUUCUCACAAAUUCAACACAGCAUUCGGUUAGUGGCUUAGUGCUAUCGUAAAGAAGUUUUACUGUACUUCAACACAUGUGUAUGGCUCAUCUGUUGAGCUGAGGAGGCGUUUAUAGUCGUGAAAAAACAGAGGUAUGACGAGAGCAAACUUGUAGCUGAAUGACAUGCAUGGUUUCUGACAAUUGAUUCAGUCCACUGAGCGCGCGUGCAGAGCUUAUCUGAACUGAAAAGAAAUGCUUCUUUGCUAAUAGUAUACAGAUUGCUCGCUUCAGACAAUAGCAGGAUAGAUUAGGUGAUCUACUUGCAGCCAUUGACGAAGGUCUACUGAUAAAUUGCUUUGACUCUGGCGCCUAGCGACCGACCGGCACUUGAGAGAAGGGUUCUAUUGUAAUGGGUAGGCACUCGCAAAGUGACAGCAAAGCCGGCUUGUUAUAUCAGCCGGUUCGCCAUCAGAGGCGACAAGACAAGUUAAACCUAUGAAAACGUCAUUGUUAGCCACGUAAUCUGUACAAAUCACGCGAUGGGGAGGGUUUGAUGGAGAGUGUUCGAGGAUCAAGGAGACACUUCUGGCGCAGAGCUUACUUUCAUGUCUGCCGAACUUGAUGCGCAGUUUUAUUUGCAUACAUAUAUUGUAUUUUGUAAGAAACUUGGCUGGCUAGAUAACUUUGUUUCACAGCAUGCAGCGCAAGCAGACUGCUAACAACUAAAGCUUUAAUUAGGAUCAAUCACGGUUCAUGCGUUGCUUAGAUGCUUUUCUAUGAUCAUUAUAGCUCCGAACCCUUGCUAUUAAAUAGUAUAAUCCUUUUCCAUUUUCUUUAAGGUUGCGGAUGUGGAUGUACACCCAGACUACACCCAACUUCAAAUCCUAGUCAAGAUAAAUUUGGGUGCCUAAUUUCAUUUUUCAUGUUAAAACCACUUCUUUUUUCCAAACACAUUGCAGACAUAGAUACCUCAACCAACGAUCUCAGCGUGUUGGGACCGCUAGCCCCCACGUGGCCACGUUCACCCCUCUUCAUUCCUUUUUUUCUCUUUAUAAAAAAAAUAUAUGUAUGCAAAACAAAAUGUAGCACAUAAUUUGUAUAAAUAAUUUGUAGAAAAAACUUGAGAAACAAAGAUUUCAAAAAAAAUGGAAGAAAAAUUUGGAACCAAAUUUGAAUGAAAUAGAAAUUAUGAACAAAAGUUAGGAAAAAAGUCGUGUUCCUAACUUUAGGAAAGAAAGAUCAGAGAGUAAAAUCUGCAAAAAGCAAAAAAUGUAAGCAAAAAUUAGGAAUAAAAGUUGUGUUUCCUUCCCCUGGAUCCACCGCCGAACCCAGCCUCAAUGCGCCACCAUCCCUAGGUUCGCCGCCAGAGAGCUUCUUCCCCUGAGCCUGCCACCGCCUAGCGCCAGCCUUAGCACCCCCUCCUCGCGCACAUCCAUCCCCACCUGACCCACCCCAGCGGCGCACAUCCUCGCGCACAUUCUCGUGCUUCCAGUGAGGUCCGAGGCGGUGCGCGGCAGCGAACGGGAAGGGGAAGGGGGUCCUCGCUCUCGCGGGUGACCGUGCACUACUGCCAGCCCCGCGCGCCGCUAUUUGUUGGUUGUCUGCGGUGGGCUCUCAGUUGUCGCUGUGUUGGGGAGAAAAAAAGAGGUGGAGAAGAAGAACAUCGUGCGUUGUGGAUGAGGUAGCCAAGAAAAAAUGUGUGGGGCUCAGCACAUGGGAAGGCAGAGCUGGUCGGAUCGAGCGUUCCGUGUGUGUGAUUGCCAAAUUGGCUUUACCCGUAUGCACAUCCUACCCUUACGAGCACCGUUGAAAGACUCCGACGGAUCUUGAGAUUGAUGAAGUUAUUUCAUGUGCUUGGUUACAGAAGAGCAUGUCAUAUAUCACUAGAAGAGUAGAUCCGAUAAUUCCGAAAUAAAUCUGCUGAGUCGAAAGACCUGAAACCGGAUUUCAGUUCGCUUAUUAAUUUCUUUUCUGUAUGCAUACAUAUACGGGCCUGAGACUACAAUAGCCGCAUGCGUCAGCCGACGCUUACUGACUAGUAGGCUUCUCUUUAUUAUGCACAAGCACAAUCUGAAUUGACUACGGGCCAGUUCAGAUUUGCUCGCCGGAAAUGACAAAUAAAGUGAACCGUCGUGUGAUAUCUUUAUAUUGCAAGAUAUUUCUUACUCGGCUAUCGACCUGAGGCCUUGAGGGAGGCCGCAGGGUAGAGUACGUCGUCGUAGAUUUAUAGAUACCGCCACUACGGCACUACCACUACCAUCCAUGCAUGCCCAGGCCAGGACGGACCGGCAGACAACGGUACUGGCAACCUUCACGUACGGAAUACCUCGCGCACACGCCGGGCACGAGAGGUGCCGGGGCGCGGCGGACACGAUAGCACCACCGGAUGCGGUGCAAAACGCGCGCGGCCGGCCGCGCCUGGAUGCAUGCGAGAUGCGCCCGCCGCAUCGGCUACCUUGGCAUGCACUAAUGGGCCGAUCGAUCUAUCGAUCACCUCAUCAUCACGAGUUGUCACAACUCGCUCACAUCUCUCUGAUCUUACCCCAGAUCGAAGAACACGACGGCGCGCGAGCACGUGCUUGUUGGGAGUUACUCCUAAAAGGGAGCACGUGUGCACGCGUGCGUGGAAAGCAACUCAGACUUUUGGAUCGCUGCAACCAGGGCAACUGCUGAUGAGUUCGAUCAGUUACUGUUCAUCGUGUGAUUAAUUACACGAGCUUAUAUAUAGCCGUGUGAUGAUUUUUCUUAAUUUUAUUUCCUCACGAAAAGCCGCUGACGAUCAACGACAGCAGGCAGGCAACAAAAGCACGUACUUAGAAAAGAAGGGUCGGACAAUGACAGUGCGGCGAGAGAUGCAGCCAGUUAGGUUGGCGUUGCAUGGCAUGCACGUUAACCAGUGAAUUUUUGAGGGCAGACAGAGACAACAGUGCAUUAACCGGCGGCCGGACAGAGACAGGUCACAGACGAGAUCGAUCACCUGUUCGUGCGCCCAGCAUCAUGGAGAUGGAAUUGAGAAACGGAAACCAAGAGGCCAGUAUCAUCGAUCUGAUAAUGGGAGCACUGUGCGGUUUGACCGGCCGGGCGGCGUGUGCUUUAACUUGCGUAACAGCUGGAGGGAGUAGCUAGUUAGUGCAUGCAUGCAAGCAUGCUAGCUGGAGAAAAUCGUUUAUGAAUGAAUUGGAAAGGUCAAAUGUCUAAUAUAUUCCUGAUAUAUGACUUGUUUGUUACCAUGAAUUAUAUGUUUCCUUUCAGUUUAUAAUUUUAUUUCAUGUAAAAUUAAAAAAAAUAAAUGAACAUGAUCACUCUCUCCGUUUUUAUUUGUAAGGCGCACAACCCAUAUCAAGAUUUAAACUUUACAAUUUUUAACCAAUAAUUUAACUAUUAAUUUUUUAUUUCUAUAAUGUAAAUUUUAUAAAUAUACUCUACAAUGAUCAUAAGUUUAUAACAUAAACACAUAAAUGAAUGGUCACCAUGUCAAGUAAUAUCAUGCCUUAUAAACAUAGAUGGAGGAAAUAUUGAUUAAUGAAUAUAACUGCGGAUUAACCGAUCAUUUUGCUUUUUUAUUUUUUUCUCCUAUCUUUCAGUUCCUUAUAUCCGUUCGUCCGUUCCUCUGGCUUCCUUAUCCUUUUCUUCCUGCCGCCCCCAAUCAGACAGGACCACACGACGCAAGCUGAGCUCCGCCGCGCUGUUGCUUGGGCGCUGCUGCUUCUCCCAUAGUGCUGUUGCUGCCUCUGCUACUCGUCUGGCGUCCGCUGCCCGCGCCCGGCCAGAUGCGCCACGCGCCGCCGGGCACUGCUUCGGCCCCAACGCAGCAACGGACCUCUAGCUCCGACGCGCGCGCCUCGCUGCCGACGUUGUGCCGCUCUCCUUUCUAGCCGCCGCUGCUCUCCCACCACCCCGCUGCACCCGACGAUGCCGUUGCCUGGGGCAUUUUGGUAAGCAUAAGCGCGAGGACGGAGAGAAGCCGGAGGAGCCACUAUUUUGGCUCCUCCCGGCUAGUACAAAACCGGCUCCGGUUUCGGCUCCGGCUCCGGCUCCGUGGGUGCUUCAUGUAGAGCUGUUUCUUCCGUGCCGUUUGGCAGGGCUGCCAAACUCACCCUAAGUAACCAUUAGGCACGUAAUCAGUGCGCAUGGCGCUAUGGACAAACAUGUCAGGUGGAGGAAGUAAAGUAGUACUAGUACAACAAUGGUUUGCAAUGCUGAGGGGGAAAGCCUGCAGGGAAGAUCGGGCCGGGCCGGCGGAGGGGGUGCUGGCUAGGGCCAACCAAACAAAUUGGCGUUUCGGGGAGGCUUUGAUCCGUCUCACUGCGGAAAAAGGAUACGCGGGCAAGCCCGCAGUUUCCACCAUUGGGCUGUGCGACUUCUCCGCGUCAGCCCAUUCGGCCGUCGGGGUCCCGCUCCGGGCCACAAGUUCGUUCUCUCCAAGCCCAAGGAACCGGUGAGUCGAGUGGAAGGAAACGACGGCCGGCUGGAAUCGAUCGUGGUCAGCUGAGGCUGAUGUUGAUCCAUGGCCGGUGAAACGUCAGUAGCGUUCGGUCUCACCGUCAGUGACCUCGUCGGCUGGAUCGGAUGGGUUUGGUUCUCGCUGGCAUCCCACCAUGGCCAAUCAUAGACCACGACAAGGAAAGUGUGGGAGCAGCUCACGCACAAGUGGCACGCUGACCAAACGGUUUUGUCGGUGAAGAGAAAGAAAUCCAAUCGAUAUCGAUCCAUCACGCUCAAGGCACAAGGGCUGACACCUGACAGAAUAUUCCUUUUUCAAAAAAGGGGAAUGGGAGGACGGCCAGAAUAAUGAAGGCUCAACGGCAACGCGUGCCAGUAUGAUGUUACUACUACUGCUUUCAUCUCAUUAUCAAAAUGAAGAAGAAGAAAAAGAUACUGCUACUCUUAUCAUACUGCUACUAUCAAACUUUCAUGAUCCCAUCACAUUCAUAGACGCUGUAGCCUGUAGGAUACAGAUGUACUAUAUCAUAUAAUGGAAAAUAACUAAACAUCUAUCUAUACUCGAAUUUCAGGUAUGCUACCCCAAAAAAGUAAAAAGAAAACAAUGCACGGGCUCGCAGAGGAACGAAUAUACAAGAACAAAUGAAUAGUAUCAUGUCGUUGCUUUCCAGUUUCAGUCCUUUCUUCACGGCCGUCCCACUCCCACGGCCUGUUCCUGAUCACCGCCGCUCCGACCACACUUCUCGCAGGAGCUCGUACCUGGCAUUCGCCAUGGAGGCUGCUCCUGCUCCUGCUCCUUGCCUGGCGCUGAAAUGCGCGGCGCCGUUGCUGUAAGGUGAAGGUGGAGCGCUCCUGUCGUACAGGGAUGCCAGGGGGCUGUCGAGGUCGUCCAGAUCGUCGUCGCUGGUGUAACCUCUCCUCUGCGCCAUUGAGCUCCUCCGGUCCAGCUCUGGGUUCCCGCAACCGGUGUCGGCCACUUUCUCCGCAACGUCCUCCAGAGAAGGGGGGCAGUACACCACCGGAGCGGCGGUGACCGGGAAUGUGCUGAUCACUUCUUUCUCCAUGAACCGCUCCAUCAUGCCCUGAAGUACAUUGGUUGCAGCAUCAGUUGAUUGACAUUAGUAUACAAGAAUCUUCAUUUUCGUAUAUUUUGUUGUGUUAAAUAUAAAUGGAAGGCAAUCCAUUUUAGCAGACAGGAACUAUACCUCAGAACUCAGCUCCUCCAGAACCAUGCCAGGAACAGGAUCAGGGCAGAACUCGUCAGGAGUGAAGUUGCACAGUAUUCUUGUUACCAGUGGAAGGCCAAUGGAAGGGCAGACCUAAAACAAAACAGGAAGAUCAAAACUUCAGCUAUUGUCUAAAAAAGACCAAAUUGAAAUAGGCACAUAUUAGGACUUGGGAAUGAGAAAGGAACUAUAAAUGAAAACUUACCUCUUUCCUGAUGGAUUUCUCAAGCAGCAUGUCCUUCGGGAGCAUCAGAAGAUCACUCAGCUCAUUGAGUAGCUUAAAACAAUUUGAUUCGGCUGCAUCUCUUCGCUCAUCACCAUUAUGUUCUGCAUCUUGACCAUCCUUUUCAGAUUCAGCAUCAUCCAUGCCAAAUGUGUCUGUCAACCAUCUGGACCAAUUCCCAACCUACAAGAGCAUUUCAUGACUUAGCAAUCAGUGUUGUUUGCAUAAGGACCUUUUUGUUUGUUUGGCAUGCAAUUGCAGGCAUAAUUCCAAAGUGAUUUUAGUCUAGGGACAUACAGAAUUCUUAAGCUGAGCGCCUGAUCCAAAGCUUAAGUCCCCAGCUGGAAUCGGCAGAACUCUUGAGUCCACGAUUGGGUCAGAUAUAGGAUCAGAUGGUAUUUCAUUCGCUGAUUCACGAAGGAUGGCGUUAAACAUAGCAACAUCUAAACGGGCUACACAAUGCUCCAUCACCUGAUAAUAACAGAACAAUAAAGGAACAGAAAUCACAUAAAAUUUCAAUAUUGUCAAACAAAAAAAAAGAACUGAAAGCAUACCAAUUUUGCCAAUACUGGUAAACAUCCACACUCAUGUCCACUAGCACGAAGAGGACAGAUUCUGCUGAAGGCAUCACGAAAUGCAGUUUUCCAGAGAUCAAUAGAAAAAUUCCCAUGUUGCUGAUCACCCAAAGAAGGCCCUAACAACCUGCUGAUCUUCGGAGUUGACAAAUCUUCCACUGGGGUUUGCAUGUGGGGUGUCAUUGCCUGGGGAAACAAAAAACCUUCAGAAAAUUGACAACACGAACAAAUUGGCAAUGGGUUUUCAGUUUUUCACUAUCGCUGUCAUACAGAAGCAAAACCAUACUGAGCUAUCUGGAAAUGAUAAGAUGGGUAAAUUUUUACCUGCCACCACACAGACUCAACAAUCCGAGAAAAGAUCCAAGAUUCUAUCUUCUCCAAUGCUGACAAGAGAGUGCCACUUUCCCGCCAAUCAUCUGGCAUCUGCAUAAUAUUGGGUCUAGCAUGCUUAGCAUUGGAGCUACUUUUCCAUCGCAUUGGAUUGAAAUUCCCAUCAAGCUUCUUUGCAUUACCAUUUGUGCUGAAAGACUUCAUAACUGGACCUGAUUGUCGUGAAGUACCAAAGGUUUGUGCAAUAAUUUCUCUUAGCACAACUAUGUUUGAUAGCCAGAAUGUCAACCUACAUCAAAAUUUAAUUCUUUCUACUUAAAUCUUAACCUGAAGGAAACGAUGCUGAUCAUAACGAGAAAUAAAAGGUGGAAUGAGAUUCUAAUUUACCUUGAAACAUCAUUGCCACAAGACUUUGCAACAAGCACAAGCCCAGAAACAGAAUUUCUUGCAACUGAAGCUUUCUUAUCUGAGGACCAAAAUUUUGAUGCAUGAAUAUACAACCUAGACAGACGGCGAGCUGGUGUAUGCAACUUAUGUGAUGAACAACCAUGCUCUGGCACCACAGAAUAGAGAGAAACCUCAAGGGCAGCAACUUCACGUAGCUCCUGCUCUAACUUCUCAAUUUUUGAAUCCAAUUCCUCAUUCCUUUCAUAAGAAACUGAAUGGCCAUUAUGAACUAUGUUUUCUUCAGUUUCAGCGAUUUCAUCAUCAGUACUAGUACUCUGAUCACAUUUUGGAGCUUCAUCCAAUAUAUCGAUCUCUUUUGCCUCUCCAACAGCUUUACCAUCAGUCUCUCUGCCCUCAAUGGCAUUAUCAUCAGUUACCUUGUCCUCAAUGACCUUAGCAUCCUUUCCAUCCUCAAUAUCCAUAUCAUUCUUCGUUCCAUCCUCAACGGCCUUAUCAUCCUGCGUUCCAUCCUCAAUGCCUUUAUCAUCCUUCGUUCUGUCCUCAAUGGCCUUAUUAUCCUCCGUCCCGUCGAUGGCUUUAUCAUCCUUGUUUCUGCCCUCAACGACUUCAUCUGUGGCUCUGCCUUCAACAGCUUUAUCAUCCUUGGCGCUGCCAUCAACUGCUUUAUCAUCUGUGGGUCUAUCCUCAAUAACUUUUUCCUCUGUUUCCUCAGAGACAUCAGAUGAAGAACAAGAAGGAACUUUCACAGCCUCUGUCUUCUUCACCUCUACUGUUCUAGCACCAUUAGCCACUUUGUUUGUUUUUGGAGAUUUGUUCUGAGGAUUGUUUGACGAUAUAUAUUGCAGCUUAGUGUGGAUCUGACGACUGGAAAUACUCCUUGCUGAGCGGGGACUGUUUUCUUUUGACUCUUUCUUUGCUAGCUUCUUUGGAACCCUUGAAACUCUCUUUGCUUUAGUAUCUUCAUUACUGGCAGCUUCACCUUGAGAUGAAAGGGAAUCUCUACUUGGCUCAUAGUCUGAUUCAGCUCCUUUCCCUUGUUUACCAUCUCUUUCCACAUCGGUUGAAUGACCAUCUCUCUCUUCCCCCUUCUCUUUGGCACCCAUUUCAGUAUCCCUUACAAAGUUCUGGAAAUUCAAUAUCUGCACAGAUCAUCAACAAAAAUUAGCAACACACCAAAGCUAUAUCAAAUAGAGUACAUGUUAUGUCAUCGCAAAACGCAAAUUAAAAAACAAAAACUAGCACCGCAGGUUAAGAGCUGAAAGGUUAAACAGCCCUCUGUGCCCCAAGUUCAAAAAGAAAAUGCAAAGUCUGGUAAGAAAUCUACUGUAGAGCAUAAUGGUCAGUUGUCAGUUCCAGAAUCCUGACGAUCAUACUAAGAAGCAGGUCCCCACAUGGUAAGUAAAGAAAUGUGGAUUCCAAUAAGACGUCCAUUACAAAACAUUGUAGCUCACAGAUCAAUCUUCUGCAUUCAAAGUAAAAGAAAAGGUGCAGUUUACACUAAAACAUUCCCUGUAGAGCAUGAUGGUAAGUUCCUAAAUGUAGUCCUUUAGUCCUGACUAGCAUACUUUGAAGCAGAUGUUCACAUCAUAAAACAAGCGACAGGACAGCAACUCAAAUAAUGAACCAGACAGCUGAGCAAGAUUUCCAUCUUGCAAGCAAAAUUGAAAAUGCUGUAACAACCUAAUAAGAGAACCUGGUACAAAUAAUAUGUCCCCAGGACAAGCAAGUAAUUCGCUUGGGCAGAGGUUUGUUGGGAGGCACAUGCAGUGGGGCUCUAGUUGUUCUUGGACCACCGUGCCCCUGGAUUGCAUUCGAGAACGAGGUCCCAGGGGGACGAAAGAGCCCCAGACAUAAAGCUGUACCAUAACUGGAGUACAGGGAGAUCUGACAAGCCCACUGAUACGGCAAAGGUAAUAACUAUCCAUGAUGGAUGAAAAACGCGGUGAUACUGGGCAGUAACUUUUUUUUCGAACGACAGUACUUGGUUCCACACGAAUCACUAUGUCCUAGACCAUUGCUCCAAAUUACCAAUCACGAGAGAAAGCUACUGAAGAUGCAGGUGCAUUACUUCGAUUUCUAUUUGUUCUAACAAAUGGCCGCAUCAGUUUUCAGCAGGGAAAUGUUCAGGUUCAAGGAACAAUAAUUAUUAGGCAGCAGACAUAAAAGAAACAAAAGUUGGGAAUCACAGGCUACCACCAAUGGACCAAAAAUUCAGUCUCAAGAUGUCCGGUCCGCAUGGAAAUUAACAGACAACAGAUAUCGCAAGAAGAUGCUCACAUAUCACAGGAGCAAGAGCAAGAACUGGAAAGGAACAGACUAGGCACCCCGCAUCCCAAGAGGCCACCAGCACGGCUCAUUCAGUCCGCGAAUGCUGAUCAGACGCUGCAACCAUCAACCAAUCUACAGACUAACCCAACAAACGCAGAGCUCGUCGGAAACCAGGAUCCCCGGCUAGUUUCGGCAACCAAACGAAGGCUAGAGCCCAAGACGGCAACAGGAAACCAAACCGCCAAAUCUCGAAUCGAACGCCACGGCGCAUGAAUCUUCCCCCAAUGUACAAGAACAGGACUGAUUGGGAGGAACAGAAACGGCGAGGACGGAAUCAGCGCAGGAGCCAGCGGUGCUCACCGGAGUUCCCGCGGUCGGUUGCCGCGCCGGUUCGGUUCCUCGCGAUGCGGGCGGGCGGGCGCGGGAAGCGAAACCAGGAAGCGGUUGCUCUUCCUUUCCCUCCUCUUCUUUUCCUACUGGGCGGCGCGGGGUUUAACGCGGCGCGGGAUCGGGCGCGCCGCGGUUCCCGAGGGGAAUGUUGGUGCGGAGCGGCGCCGGGCGCGCGGUCGGUCGGUCGGCCGCGGGACGGGGACGAGGCGGCCACCGGCCGCUUGGCUGAUCCGGCGGCCGCUUCUACUGGGGCUACGGCGAGGCAGGCGGGCGGGCGUCACUGGCAGUGCCUCCACCGCGUCCGCGUGGGGGCGUGGGCGUGGGCGUGGGCGUGGUGGCCGUUGCUGCUUGCUUAUAUCAACGUGUGUUUCGAGGCCGCCGAUGCCGCUCACCGCGCGGUGAGCCUAGCAACGGCAUCGAGGGGGAGGGCUCGUCCGGAACGUGGCCUAACAAAUGUGCGAAGCCAAAGCGUUGACAAUAAAAUUCGUUGCCAAAAUUGCGUUUGAAUGUUUCGAAAAAAUAUGCGUUUGGAGAGUGUGUGUGUUAUACUUGUACACGAGUGAGGGAUUUGUGGUGGUUAAAAUUUUUGCCACCAUCAAACAAGUGUUUGAAUUUUGGAAAUUCUGGUUGUCUGUAAUGCUAAUCACAUUUCGAGUAUAUACAAAGAUUAUUUCGAAGUUCUAACCUUCGCCACGUAACCGCCUUUUCGCCCUCCUUGCUCGGCCACGUUUCCUACGAAUGAAACUGUCUUCCGCCCUCCUACUCAAGUGUCCUUGUAUAGGUGGCAGACGCAGCAUAGUUCGUGACACAGUUCAUGAUUUAUCCUCAACGUGGCUCACGAUUUUUUAUCAGGUUCGAUUGGACAAGUACCAGACAUCAUAAAUCGACAUUAUGGCUCUGCCCUCUGCUUGGGAAGCUUAUAACAGUUUCUGCAUGCUCUAAAAAAAAUCAUCCAAAGUCCAAACAGUCCGAGUUUUCCUAUAGUCUGCUCCUACCAAAAGCUGAUUUUGGAUGAAUUAGGUGGCUGGAAUUUCUAUAUAUCUAUGGACACUGCAGAGCAAGGCAGUAACACACAAAUUUGAAGUCACCAUUCCGAAUAGAAUCCAUAUCAUCAUGGAGAAGCAGCUUUUUCCAACAAAAGCUUCAUUCCGAUCGAAAGAGAGAGAGAAUCUGUACACAUCCUCCUUGUUUUCCCAAAAGAAGGAAUUAACAGGCCGGAAAGCGCCUGCCCAGACUCCAGAAAAGGAGUGGUGAGCGCACUCGGGAUCCGCAGCCCUCCCGCAUCCUUGCGUGGCCGGGGGUGACCGGCAGAGGCUGUCGGUGGUGGCAGCGCCACCGCCGGCUCCGGGUAGCCGUCGCCGUCACAGAAUCAGAUUAGGCGGCUUAAUCAGGGCCACGAAAUCACCAUACUGCCCUCACCAGCCGGUUUACUUCUCCAAUCCCUCGCCGGAGCUGCCUCUCUGUCUCUGCCGUGGCCGUGUAAACGCAGAGCCCGCCAGGCCGGCAGGCAGCUGGGCCUGGGCCGGGCGGUGACGUGACCCUUUCACCUCGCCGUCACGUCCACGUCUCCGACGCCUACUGCUCCGCGGGCACGCACCGUACAGGUACGCGGCCGCCUAGGCGUACGGGCCCUGUACAGGACCACGCGGGAUACAGCAUCUGUAUUUGCAUCCGGCUACAGGCUACUUGCUGCAAUGCUGCUAGAGGUACCAUGCCAUGUGUUGGUUCUGGACAUUCCAGGGGAUUUGGCAGGAAACUCUGGAUCAAUAAAAGAAUCGUCACGAUUCUCUUGUGAAGGCUAGAAAAUUGCUCUGCACUUCUGCAGGAGGGUUUGGGUUUUAUGAUGGUCUCCUCUUGUUUAUGCGGUGCCUAUGAUUCUCGGUGGAUUAGAGUAUACGGAGUUUGUUUGGAUACCGCUAAAGUUUAGCACAUGUCACAUCGGAUGUUUGGAUGCUAAUUAGGAGUAUUAAAUAUAUGCUAAUUACAAAACUAAUUGCGCACAAUUGGAGUCUAAUUCGCGAGACAAAUCUAUUAAGCCUAAUUAGUCCAUGAUUUGAUAAUGUAGUGCUGCAGUAACCAUUUGCUAAUGAUGAAUUAAUUAAGCUUAAUAGAUUCGUCUCGCGAAUUAGCACAGGAUUCUGCAAUUAGUUUUAUAAUUAAUUCAUAUUUAGUCCUCCUAAUUAGCAGCCGAACAUCCGAUGUGACACUGUUAAAGUUUAGCACCGGUAUCAAACACCCCCGCAAUAUGUGGCCACCUUUAUUUCUGUAUAUAUGUUUGUCAUCUUGACUAACUUUUGUUUUGUAUGGUUUCCUUGUGGUCUAUAUAUCCACCAACCACCAAAAUGUAGAUCUGUAUAAUAGUCGUUGAAUGAGGCUUGUGUCCAAAUCAUUGUAGGCUGUAGAGCAUAUGCGAUUUGUGUCUUGUCUUCCCUUGGAAUCCGAGAAGACUCUAACAAUAAGUUAGACGAGUCGUAUAACAAAUAUCUAUACGCCUUGUGAAAUCAUGUGCCACCAGCCUUUCGGCCCCUGUGUUCAUGUUAUUUUUGGAAAUUAGCACGGAAUAAUUGAGAUCAGCACAUCCCGGGCAGCAGCGUGAGCACCGAGCAGGAGCAGCAACUGUUUGUACGCGUACGGAACGCCACCGCCUGGCUCCUAGUACACUGUACAUGGAGCCGUCGCACGUACGGUUAGCUACCUGCCGGUACAAUACAAAGCGUCAAGGCAUAAUCUAGCUGUAACAAAGGGACAGCCACUAGAAUCCAUAUCCAUCCAGCAGCCUGGCCUCUAAGCACCGGACCCCACGUGUCAGCGAAGAGAAGGGAAGAGAUCAGAUGCGGAAGUGAGCUACAGGCUACUGGUGGAAUGGAGGUGUUCUUGUUAUCUUGUACCCCGAGAGAUUAGCGCGGGUGGUCGUGAGCCGUGCAUUGCGCAGCACAACUGAGCAAGCUUACGGACAAGAGGAGGAUCUCGGCGGAAGGGCCUGAAGCGGUGAAGCCUUGGUGACGUGCACAGAUGGCGACUCCUCUCAACGGGGACGUGCUACCGACACUGCCCGCGGUGGCGCGCGUCAAUGAUACGAUGCCCCCUUCGUCCCAACAAAUCACACCAAACCGUCCAGGAAACUUCACAAGCCCCCGUGGCAUAAUUUCGGGGCUUUUCUUCGAAUGAAAAAGAUAAAAACACUUCUCACAUACGUUUCGGAGGAAUUUCAUGGCAAAUAUCGUACCCCAGCUCAUGCCAGGCCCUGAAGGAUUCGAAGCAAAAUGUUUCCGAACAUAGCCGGAAAAGGAAUGAUUGUGCAUGCAGUUAUUCUCGUCCAGAAAGAGAUGGGAGAUCGACACCAACAUUUGCUGGCCAUACACUACCUCCAGGGACCAGGGGUGGAUCCGGUAGUAGGGCAUGGCCAAGCAAAAGGAGAGGGACUGAUCCUUCAUCCUUGUCAGAGAAUGGCAGGUGGUUAGCUAGCAUUAGCAUGCAUUAACAGCCUUGCCAGCCGUCCCAGACCAGCACCGGACCACCACCACGUACGCAAGGUUACGGCGUCGUGUGACAAGAGUAGAGCCACAGGGAAGAGAGCAAGCAAGGCGCCGAGGCAUGCCCCAUGGCUACGACCCCAUGCCUUUGCUAUUGUGAAACUACGGCAUCUCAGUCGCAGCAAUCAUAGCAUAGUAGUAUAAUAGACCUACGGCAAGUGAAGCAUCUCUAGCUUAGGUCUCCAGCCAUGAGCCAUCAUCAGAUGAGAAUGAGAAUGAGAUGCUGGUGCUGAAAAAGAGAGAGCGUAGUAGUAGGAACAGCACUUGCUCAGACAUGCCGUGCUGCUGAGUGAUAGAUUACUGACAUGCCGAGCUUUAGAAGGCGAUCGAUGCGCAUCGGUAAAGGCGGACAUGGCGAGAGCGGAGGGAGGCCAGUGUAAUGAAUGGAAGCUCUGGUCAAAAGUGCAGGGAAAGCCAUGCUGUAGCUUUGGAUCUACGCAAAAGUGAACAUCUGUACUCGUAUGCAGGUUUACACUAUGUGUUCAUCCUUACCUGAAAAGAAAGGUCGUACAUGGAUGUGUGAUGAACAAGCUCUAUGAGUAGUGGUAUCUUGGAUUGUGUGUAGUCUACACACAGGGUAGGCUUAGAAUCACCAGCAACAAGAAAUACAUGGCGGGAUAGCAAUAUGCAGUUCAGAACUCAAAUUUCAGAGAGUGCGGUUUGGUUGCAGGGCAUGGCAGUUGAGCAUGAAGUGAACACCACACUGCAGAGAAUUUUGCUGCCAAGUUGAUUUAAUAGCCUAUUUCACAGGCGAUGCUUCAAUGAGCGAAAUUGGCGAUAACGGACCAAACAUGACAGGCAAGCGUCAUUACUCUCGUCAUACGGCCUGUCUGCAUAAGUAGGUGGUUUUUCCUUUCUAGCCAGUUGGGCAUCCAGCGAUUGGACAAGGCAGCAUGUGCAUGUGACUGCAGAAAACUCGUGAAGGAGCACGCAUGAUCUAAGCAGUGCUCACGAGGACAACAAUACGACAACGAAUGAUUCCUGGGAUAAAUGACAGUUUAGGCUACAUCGCAUACGUGUAACUCUCAUCUCUUGUGCGCAGGCCGCAGACAUCAAGGCCUCAACUGACCACCAUGUGAUACACUUUUCUGAAGCUAUCUUGGAUGAAACUCUGUUUGUCAAGAAAAAUCUGAACCAGGCUAUCAUAGGACUGCAAGUACAAGCAUAUGUGUAUAGAAGAUGAGCUUUCGUUGCUUUAUGCUCAACAAUCAUAAGAUUAGCUGAAGCUUCAAGCCUAGUUUGUGCAUCAGGGAACUACUAUCUCCGUUCCAAAUUGUAGGUCGUUUUGGCUUUUCUAGGUUCAUAGAUAUUAUUGACAUAGAUGCAUAAUAAUAUCUAUGAACCUAGAAAAGCCAAAACAAUCUACAAUUUGGAAUGGAGGGAGUAAUAAAAUUCAUAGAACCAUGUCCUAUAUACAAGAGUUGCUGUAAAACAAUACAGGCUAGGAAACUAGGUAUCCCUGCUAGAUAACUUCCAACUGCAAGAUCUUACCUCCAACAGCACGUUACUUAUUAGUAGUAACAAACAGUCUGGAUUCGGUCAUCACUAUCUGCUUGAGAAUAUUGGAAGCUUGAAUCAAGCCAACGAGUCACCUUUGCAUUGGCAGGGAAAUCAGUUCAUUUUCCCUACCAAUCAAAUCCCUACCCAUCCAAACAAACCCUCACAGAAGUACAGAACCGCACCUAUCAUCUAUGCAGAGAGUGAGCAGCCACAAUUCGACGAAAGAACACAAAAAAGGUGAAUAUGCAGAAAUUCUAAAAUUCAAACAGAAAGCUCAAAUACUAUGCAAUAUUGACAAACGAUUUUGACAAUUUUGAUCAGCAGCCAUAUUGUUGUGCAGACAACAGGAAACAUGAUCAUAACUCAUUAGAAUUAUUGUAGAAAAAAAAGCACAAAACUGAGCUAAAAGAAAGAGCAACACAGACAUUAUCCUCAUUAGGACCGCAGACUUGCUCAUCACACUAAUAAGGCUGAUCGGUCUAAAAAACCAGGUUGAGAGACGCUAUAAGCUACAAGUCACUUUACCCUGAGAAGUUUCAGAUCUCUUUGAAUUUCUCCAGGAAUGAGUUACUUAACCCAGAGCCUGUAGCUCAAGCUAGUGUCAAUCAUAUAUAUAUUAUACAAACACCCUUAAUGACAAUGAAAAUCAAUCAGUUGCUGGUUUCAAACAAAGACAAUCUGAUUUUUCCUGUAUUCCUUGUAGAAUCAUUCACUGGUUUUAAGGAAAAACAGAAACUAUUUUUUCUGGCAUUUUACAAUACUGUUCAAGGUACAUCAACCCCAGGGUUUUCAAGGUAGCUUCCCUGCCUAUCAAGGCACGAAACUGUAAAGCACUCACCACAUGGCCAGUGGCGGAGCUAGAACACAAAUCAAGAGAGGGCCAUUAGUACUAAUCUGUCGCUUAAUGUGCUCAUUUUUUUAAUUCCUAAGCAUCAGUUUGUAGCUGGUUAAUGGUUUUUGCAAUUGGCAAGGAGGGGCCAUGGUCCUCUUUGGCCUACAUGUAGCUCCGCCAGUGCACAUGCCGCUAAGGCGCUAACCAUCAGGUACAAAAUUGAUUAUUUUGCUAUCAUCCGCGAGCCACAUCAAUCACACGACCCAAGUUCUAGCAUCAAGAACAGAAAUUUGACUCAUUAGAAACACUGAUCUCUCUGUCUUCAUGUAUAGAAUUGCUUGUAGAUGAAGAUGAAAAGAUGACUAGGCAUAACCACACCAAUUUUUUCAGAAAAUAAAAAAGGCUGCCUAAACAUAUGACUAGCAAGCGUGCUCGAAAAGCUGACCAAGUAUAGUGGUACAGUAAAUGACCCUUAAAGCCUUGAGUAUACUUGUGAUUGUGAAAGUAAACUUAAAAACAGUGAUGAUAAUAUGAGACAUAUUCACAGAUGAUAGUAUAGUAUCUAUUGGUAGUGAUAAUGUGCACACAUUUUAGAGAUGUACUUGACAAAAGGAUAGGACAAUGAACACAAUAUACAUCCAAGGAAAUGUUAACAGUAGAAGUACCACCAGUAGUCCAUGUACUGUGGCACAGAGCCUCUCUCAACUUAAAACAUUAUCUUAUUUUAAGAUACCUAAGCAAUCCAUGACCAGUUCUACCAGAAACCAUCACAUUCAUUGUACAGCAAUAGACAGAUGAUUUAUCAUUCAUAGCAUCAUCAAUUCAAGCGUACCACAUGGCUAUUUGAAUCUAAGAGUUUGACCACAAGAUUCAUCGCAACAAUGUUGAAGUAACAUUCCACCUGGCUUGCACUGAUUUGACUUGUAUAUCCUGUUUUAUUAAAUAAUAUAACAGGCUCAGCCACCAUAGGAGCUAAUAAUUACACCUAACCUAUAUGACUAUACCCACAGCCCAGCAUAUUUACGCAUUAUGGAUUAUCUUCUUCUCAUGUUUGAAACUAAUUUCCCUAAGUAGCAUGCUUACCAAGCAACGCCCAAGGCUGUCAUACACAUAAGAAUCAUUUCACACAGAGUUAUCAGCGGAAGAGAGAAGUACAACCCUAGCUGUGGUCAUGUGGUAUUAGUACACAAGGGAUAUGAAGGGGAUAAUAGAACCACAAAACAUUUUAAAAUGUUUAGGGCAUUCGCCAUCAUCAGCAGGUAAAUUUAAAAAUGAAACAGAAAUAUUAGCCAAACUAUCCACUAAUGCGUUUAUGGAAUCUGGUGAAAUUACAAGCUUGGAUGCUUCUGCAGUAAAAAUCUAUCUACUAUUUAUUUUGGAUCUUUUCUAAAAUUCUUGAUUGGUUCUCCUGAAAUACAUAAGUACAGUUUAGGAAGCAGCUUUUCAUUAUGUUAGCCUGCCACAUGUAUGAAGACAGUGCAAGUACAAACAAGACUAUGAAUAAAAAUGGAACGAUGGUGUAGUACUUCCGAUCCUUGAUUAGUGCCUUAGUCUUUCUAUGCCGUGGUAUUCUGAUAUGUUAAUCAGUCAUUUCUUGCUUAAUUGUCUCUAUUUUUUUCAUCAGAGAAAUCAAAGUUUCAUCUAGAACACAAUUUGUUCUUUUUGUUUCAUCUUCCCCCACCCAUUUCCCAUUAAAUUUACACAAUUCCUUUGGGUGUGGGCAAACCUGUGCUUGCCCACACCCUCCCCAAUGGCAGCUAUGCUUAAAACUUAUGUUAAGACAUCUAAGCAAUCCAUUCACAUUUUCACCAACAGGAUCUAUUGCAACAAUGUCAAGGCAACAUUCCAUUUGGCAUGGGGUGACAGUUUGAAUCUACAAUUUUAUUAAAUGACAUAAUGGGCUAGGUAACCAGCAACAAUGUCAAGGCAACAUUCCAUUUGGCAUGGGGUGACAGUUUGAAUCUACAAUUUUAUUAAAUGACAUAAUGGGCUAGGUAACCACAGAAGCUAAGACUCUGCACCCUAUAUAGCCAUGUGGUAAAUAUUGUUCUGCAUCUCCCAUACAAACUGUAACUAUGUUCGAACAAAUUUACACGUUUACUUAAGUAACAAAUUAUGCAUUUCCUUCUAAUGUUUUAAAACUAAUUUAUGUACUCAUUAGAAACGCCCAAGGCUCUCAAACAACAUAAGAAACAUUCCAUAGCAGAGUUAUCCGCUGGAGAGAGACAAGUACAGUCCUAACUGUGGUCAUGUAGUAGAAGUACAACCAAAGGUGAAGAGGAUAAUACAACUGUGAAACAAUUCAAAAUGUUCAGGGCAUUCGCCAUCAUCAUCGGGAAAAUUUCAAAUGGAAACAGAAACAACAUCAUAGUGUUCAGCCCGUGUUCCAUCCACACCAGAAGUUCGGGACCACACAUCGCAACCAUCUUAUUGGAAGCAAAUCAGAGGCAGCCUAGGGUUCGGGGUGACCUGAGACGCGCGGAUCACUCGGCGUGGGCCUCGGCGGCGGCGAGCUCCUGCUGCUGGAGGCGCUCGAGCGCCUUCUGGUGCGCCCAGGUCUCGAUGGUGAGGUCGGGCUUGGCGUUGAGCCCGACGCCGAGGAUGACGACGGUGAGGAAGGAGGUGACGUAGCAGGGAAGCUCCCAGUCCUCCCACAUGCGCGACUCCCCUGGCGGCGGCGGCGGCCGGUUGAAGAGGUACCCCUUGGGCUGCUCCUCGUGCCCCGGGGUCGUCCACCGCCCGGCCCCCUCGCCGCCGCCGCGGACGCGCGCCGCCCCGCGCAGCCGCGCCCGCAGCAUCCCACCCGCCGCCGAGGAGAUCGCCCGCAUCGAGCCCGAUUGGGUGCGCGUCG